rnacentral:rRNA from 1 species
CCUACGGGGGGCAGCAGUGGGGAAUAUUGGACAAUGGGGGCAACCCUGAUCCAGCCAUGCCGCGUGUGUGAAGAAGGCCCUCGGGUUGUAAAGCACUUUCAGUGAGGAAGAACGCCUGGUGGUUAAUACCCAUCAGGAAAGACAUCACUCACAGAAGAAGCACCGGCUAACUCCGUGCCAGCAGCCGCGGUAAUACGGAGGGUGCGAGCGUUAAUCGGAAUUACUGGGCGUAAAGCGCGCGUAGGUGGCUUGAUAAGCCGGUUGUGAAAGCCCCGGGCUCAACCUGGGAACGGCAUCCGGAACUGUCAAGCUAGAGUGCAGGAGAGGAAGGUAGAAUUCCCGGUGUAGCGGUGAAAUGCGUAGAGAUCGGGAGGAAUACCAGUGGCGAAGGCGGACUUCUGGACUGACACUGACACUGAGGUGCGAAAGCGUGGGUAGCAAACAGGAUUAGAUACCCUAGUAGUC